AGGAACCACUGUUGGGCCAAAACCUCAGCCAGAAAGGGGCUUGGCUGCCAACCAAGAGGUUAGGACAGACCCUCCAGGACUUUGCGGGAAGGGCUCAAAAGCAGCUCUGCUCCUGCCCGGCUAUGUGAUCUCAGCUGGUGACUGAAGACCACCUAGACCAUCAGUGUCCUCAUCUGUAAAAUGGGUCUGAGGGUCAAACCUAUUACCCUGUAUUCAGAGGCCAGGCCUGCAGAUGAGCUUGAUGGCUUGACUUGGAUCCUGGAUCCCUGAAGACUGCUCUGAGAUCGAUCAGCCAGAGAGAAACAGAGAGAAAGCUGGCUCAGCCCUGAAGGCUUUGAGCAAAAGUUUCAGAAGGAGCUGGAAGGAGACAACAGCCCGUUCUCCCUGAGCUGUGGCCGGGAGGGCCCAGGCCAGCACCACGAUGUACAGAUGGCCCAGGGGGCUCGACAUGAGUGAGGGCUGAAGUUCGUGCAACCCCAACCGCCACCCCUGAAUUGGGCAGAACCAAUUUUUUUCUUAGCACCUGUCUGACUCUGCUUACCAUGACAACCCCAAGGGCCCCCCAGAAUUGAUAUCCAAGUGCCUUUAGCCUAUCAAAGACAGGAGGGGGUGCAUUCUCGGCCAGGUUAGGGUUCACAGAGCAUCCGUAUAUUAGGAUUUCCCAGCCCCCUGAGCCCCCCACCCCAUCCCAACAUGAACUAAGACCCCUCAGCACCCCCACCCCUCAUCCUGCUGUAUUUGGUUCAAAUCCAAUAAAAAUGGAACCGAUUUAAUAACAAA
rnacentral:lncRNA from 10 species